AAUGAAGCAACAUAGAAAAAACUGUGAGCUGAAGAGAACUGAUUGGUGUGCUUACCCUAAAGAAGGAAUGGAAAACUGAAUCAUACACUGAAAAAUUUUCAGAAUUAUGCUCUUGGAGCACAUAAAUCUGCUUUGUAAAUUACAGAAUGUCUUCAUAAUAGAUUGUGGUAGUUGUAGUCUACCUCACAGUAGAGAUUCUUUAAAUCCAGUCCAAAGAGCAAGGUCACAGGGCCUUAGCACUACAAGAGUCUGCAAUGCAAUAACCAGUACCAUUGCUUGGAACCUCUUGAGGAUCACAUUGAAAGCUCAUAUAUCUUUAUGCUGUGAGGUAGCCCCCAAUGGUGGCAAACCCAUAGAAAACAGUUGUGUUGCAUUUUGUUCUGUUUUGUUUUGUGAUGUUUGUUUGUUUGUUUGUUUGUUUGUUUGUUGUUAUCUUUGGAUCAGGAGUCUGAGUGAAUUGCAAAUUGCUGCCAUUCUCUAGAUCCAGGCUCUUUAUGUUUUACCGACAAAGAAAUAUAAAGGAGAAUAUAUACAUACAGAUUUUUGUAUGUGCAUGCAUUUCUUCACACUUGUGCCAUAAACUUCAAGUGUCAUUUUUCCUUGUGGAAGAUCUACCAUUGACUUUGUGACACCAGAACUUCUUUCCAGCUGUUGGAGUGUGAACUUGGGACUACCCUAUUACUCUUGUGGGUUUUACCCAGAAGCAAAAGGAUUUGAGGCUGAGAGAAGAUUCCUUUUCUAGCCUUUCCUGCUUCUGGCUCGGCUGUAAUGCCCUUUUGCCUGGAGGGAGGAAGAGGAACAGAUGGCAUGCAGCUAGGCAAUUAUACAGCAUAGUAAAAGCAUGGUCAGGCUCAAAUUCACACAAAGAUGCCCAUGGUAAUGUUAUACCCUGAAAUGAUCCAGCAAUUGUUCUUGGACCAAGCUCAAGUUUAUAAAAUAAUGAGCAUAACAGGAACAAGCACUUUCCAUAUUCUUGUUAGCAGACCAAGGAAAACUAAAAACGACAGUGAGCAGCAACUGACAACACACCUGGAGUUACAAAGACUCGUUUUCCAAGCUCUUCCUUUUUCUCUCCUCAUCAGUGUCUGCAUGUAAUGGAUGAUGUGGCAAAAAAAACAAAGCAAUACAAAAAACUCAAAGAGACAGUAAGAGAAAAAAAGAAAUUGAUGCUAAAGGCUGAAUAUAGAAGAAAAUAGUCAUCAUAUCCGAAGUGCCAUUAUCACAACCAGAUUGUAGCUGGUACUUGCAAUCCAGAACACAGAUAUAAAAAGUUUAGGUAUCUUGAGGAAGCAUGAAAACAUCUUGCCCAAUCUUUUGGCCAGCAAGUCCAGAUACACAAUGUUGAAAAGGUGAAUUAAAAAAAAUAUUGUUGAAUUUCCAAAUUUAUAAGCACAGGAAAGGAUCAUGGGGGAACAGUUUUCAGAAUGGCUAAAAGGUAAUUGGAUGUCUAAUUGCUGUUCACAAAAUGAAAAGUUUUCCCAUA